GGGCGGAUGGUGAAAUUGGCAGACACGCAAGCCUUAGGAGCUUGUGCCGUAAGGCAUGGGGGUUCGAGUCCCCCUCCGCCCA
rfam:Lentisphaerae bacterium RIFOXYC12_FTLL_60_16 rifoxyc3_full_scaffold_3433, whole genome shotgun sequence.